UGACUGGGGCGGUCGCCUCCUAAAAAGUAACGGAGGCGUGCAAAGGUUCCCUCAGGCUGGACGGAAAUCAGCUUAAGAGUGUAAAGGCAAAAGGGAGCUUGACUGCAAGACUUACAAGUCGAGCAGGGGCGAAAGCCGGCCUUAGUGAUCCGACGGUACCGCGUGGAAGGGCCGUCGCUCAACGGAUAAAAGUUACUCU
rnacentral:rRNA from 1 species